rnacentral:rRNA from 1 species
UACGAAGGGGGCUAGCGUUGUUCGGAAUCACUGGGCGUAAAGGGCGCGUAGGCGGCCGUUCAAGUCGGGGGUGAAAGCCUGUGGCUCAACCACAGAAUGGCCUUCGAUACUGGACGGCUCGAGACCGGAAGAGGUCAGUGGAACUGCGAGUGUAGAGGUGAAAUUCGUAGAUAUUCGCAAGAACACCAGUGGCGAAGGCGGCUGACUGGUCCGGUUCUGACGCUGGGGCGCGAAAGCGUGGGGAGCAAACAGG